rnacentral:lncRNA from 10 species
ACCAGCUCUGCUGUGCCACCAGCACUGCAAUCCCCGUGCAGCCCCUGAUAAUGUUCAGAGCACCCCAUUUUGCUGCCUAGGCCAAUUAAGGGAAGAGGUAGAAACAAAUACCUGUGUACAGAGAAGAGUGUGCUGGAGAGGGAGAUGGGGAGCUUGGCCUCAAACUAGUAUUAGAUGUGGAGGGUCCGUGAGGCUUCUCCAGGCUUACUCCAGUCCUGCAAACCACCUGUGGAUCUUGUCACCAGCAGAAAGCAGAAUGUCUUGAACCCUACUCCUGGAACUCUCUCGGCUUUUCCACAUGGUGUCCCCUUUUACAGGACAUCAGGCACCGUGAAGCUAAGCUUGGCCUUCUGGCUCCACUUUGACUGUCUUCUUGCCUCCCCAGUUCAGAGAAAGAAAGGAAGUGGAGUGCCAAGGGAGGCCAACCCGCGGGAAAUGUUUGAUUCUUUAAAGGACUUGAAGUGAGAGAGGUCAUCCUAGACAUCGAACAGGGAAUGUUUCAGAAGAAGGAAGAGCCUAGCAGGAGAGAAUAUGGAAGACAGAAGAAGGGGUUGACCCUUGGUCACAGCAAAUACAGCCAGAUUCUCUCUUUCUGUCUUUCUUGAAGAAAACAGAAGCGUCUGGGAGCUGCUGGUGUUUCUCAGAUAAACAAAGCAGGACAUUGUGCUCAUUCCUUUACAUUUCAGUGACUGCCCUGAAAGGAAAGAUGUCCAUAAAGCAGUAGAGGAAAGGUUUGGGUUUUUGGGUUUUUGUUUAUUUUUAAAGUGACUAGCUAGUUACUUUUGCUGCGUGUGAGGAUUUAAUUCCAAGCUCACCUUCUCACAUCAAGUCCAGAAUGGUAACAGUAGACCUUUUCAGGAAAAGAAAAGGCAUUUUUUAUGAUAUGAUUUAAAUAAAACUUCAGAAAACGAAGAUGAUGUGUGAAGAGGACAGUUGCCCUGACUCUGGCAAGAGGCUGAAAAUGAGAAAAAGAGAUGCAGGCAGGAGCCCACAAAAAGGCCAAGAAAGAUAAUGAAGGAAGAAAAAACAACGGGAUCACAAAGAAUGUGUGAACAGUAGAAGGUCUGACCCACCAUUUGUUUAUCCCUUCUUCUAGUUCUCCCAUUGGGCAAGGUUGAAUCCAAGAGAAUUUGUAGGACGAUAAGUGGAACUCAGUGUUCCACCAUCCUCAUCCUCAUCCUCCAUAUUCAAGCACGUACUUGAUAACCCAGCUCACACUUUCUUCCAUGAGAAACCGGAAAGGAAAGAUUCCCAGCAGAUUCACAGGAAGUGCUGUGGGGCCAGCCCUUGACCAACUCUGUUGAAAGUCAGUGAUGGGAUGGAGAACUACUUAGAAUUUACAGCGAGGCUCAAAGCCCCAGAGAUGCCACGUCUUCCAAAGGCCUGUUGUCUUCUCACCCCAGCACCCGCAGGACGUCUGCAGGGAAGCUACGUUGCCUCCCUGAGGGCCUGCAGGCCUGCUGUGAUCCAGCACCGUCAUAGCCAGCUCAUCUUUUGUUGUUGUGGGAAGGGCCCACAGAAGCCAACAGUUUUGGUGGAACUCCGAUCGGACAGUAGAUGCUUCUUAUUCCUUGUUAUGAACUACAAAUGCCCCGACCUCGUGUUUAUGAUCGCCAACAGUCACUUGUGCAUUUCUGUCUCCACUAAUGCAUGGUGUGGCUAAUUGGGUUUGUGAAAAAGGUCACUUCCAUCUUUUUUUUUUUUAAUGAAUGGUUUAGUUUAUUAUUACAGUGGAGUGUUGACAAGCAUGGCAGAGACUAAAAAUAUAGUUCCUUUUCAAAAUAAAAUAUUCAGCAUUUUGACUGGCUGCAGAUUUAUUUGGCAGUAAUUUCUUGGUUAAAAUUCCCUGAGGUUUCUUUAUAUGGCUAUUUUGGUUCUUUAUUUUAAGUAUAUCAGCAUUUUUCCACAGCUUCAAGCUAUUCUCAUCUCAGCAUGUAGGAAGUUAAUAGGCAGCACAGAAGCUUGUUACUCCAAUUCCAGUAAAAACAUAAUUGGCUCAAGCAGCUAAGAUACCAGCACCAUCCUUUCUGCUACCUUGAAGGACCAGCAAGAAUGGCCACAAACUCAAACUCAUCACAACAAUCAGGCCCAUUCCAGGCAGUGCCCAUGAAUAUGGAAUAAGGACCAGCAAAAAUGGCCACAAACUCAAACUCAUCACAACAAUCAGGCCCAUUCCAGGCAGUGCCCAUGAAUAUGGAAUAAGGACCGCUUGGAAUUUUGUUUUUUAGUCUCAAAACUUUGUAAGAUUUUUUAACGAUAUGCAUAAUAGGAAUGCAAUUCCAUUUAAGGUGGAUGCCCACCUAGAUACACAACAUAUUCCAGUGGUACCACCAUUCUUCGAAACAUCUGUGAAAUUUCUGUUUUGGAAUCGCUUUCAGAUAUAGUUUAUGGAGAAAUACAUCAGAAAAUUAGUCUCGUUCAUUUCUAAUCACAUAUGAAUCAGAUUAAAAAGUUAGAUUACUCAACUUAUUUACCAGACUGGGCACCAGAUGCCUUUUGCAUUUUCUAAAUAGCAGAUUCUCUCGCAAAACCAAAGUUUGCCACCAAUAAAUCUUUCAAACCAC